UAGAAGAAUCUGUUAAGCUCAGGAGGGAUAGCGCCAUGGAUGAUCUUCAGCCUGAUCCUCAUUAGCGCUAUCCAUCCUGAGUUACAUGGCUUCUUCUU
rfam:Gossypium raimondii Chr06_contig_1190, whole genome shotgun sequence.